rnacentral:rRNA from 1 species
UACAGAGGUGGCAAGCGUUGUUCGGAAUUACUGGGCGUAAAGCGCACGUAGGCGGCUUUGUAAGUCAGGGGUGAAAUCCCGGGGCUCAACCUCGGAACUGCCUUUGAUACUGCAAAUCUCGAGUCCGGAAGAGGUGAGUGGAAUUCCUAGUGUAGCGGUGAAAUGCGCAGAUAUCAGGAAGAACACCCGUGGCGAAGGCGGCUUUCUGGGACGGUACUGACGCUGAGACGCGAAAGCGUGGGGAGCGAACAGG